UACGAGGGGGGCGAGCGUUGUUCGGAAUUAUUGGGCGUAAAGGGCGCGUAGGCGGUCGGAUAAGUCUUGUGUGAAAUCUUCGGGCUCAACUCGAAGUCUGCACAGGAAACUAUCUGGCUUGAGUGUGGGAGAGGUGAGUGGAAUUCCUGGUGUAGCGGUGAAAUGCGUAGAUAUCAGGAGGAACACCGGUGGCGAAGGCGGUUCUCUGGGCCUUACCUGACGCUGAGGAGCGAAAGCGUGGGGAGCGAACAGG
rnacentral:rRNA from 1 species